rnacentral:rRNA from 1 species
CCUACGGGCGGCAGCAGUGGGGAAUAUUGCACAAUGGGCGCAAGCCUGAUGCAGCCAUGCCGCGUGUGUGAAGAAGGCCUUCGGGUUGUAAAGCACUUUCAGCGGGGAGGAAGGCGUUAAGGUUAAUAACCUUGGCGAUUGACGUUACCCGCAGAAGAAGCACCGGCUAACUCCGUGCCAGCAGCCGCGGUAAUACGGAGGGUGCAAGCGUUAAUCGGAAUUACUGGGCGUAAAGCGCACGCAGGCGGUCUGUCAAGUCGGAUGUGAAAUCCCCGGGCUCAACCUGGGAACUGCAUUCGAAACUGGCAGGCUAGAGUCUUGUAGAGGGGGGUAGAAUUCCAGGUGUAGCGGUGAAAAGCGUAGAGAUCUGGAGGAAUACCGGUGGCGAAGGCGGCCCCCUGGACAAAGACUGACGCUCAGGUGCGAAAGCGUGGGGAGCAAACAGGAUGAGAUACCCGUGUAGUC